rnacentral:rRNA from 1 species
UACGGAGGGUGCAAGCGUUAUCCGGAUUCACUGGGUUUAAAGGGUGCGUAGGUGGGUUGGUAAGUCAGUGGUGAAAUCUCCGAGCUUAACUUGGAGACUGCCAUUGAUACUAUCAGUCUUGAAUACCGUGGAGGUCAGCGGAAUAUGUCAUGUAGCGGUGAAAUGCUUAGAUAUGACAUAGAACACCAAUUGCGAAGGCAGCUGACUACGCGAAUAUUGACACUGAUGCACGAAAGCGUGGGGAUCAAACAGG